UACAGAGGCCUCAAGCGUUAUGCGGAAUCACUGGGCUUAAAGCGCGUGUAGGCGGAUCGUUAAGUGUCUUGUGAAAUCCCACGGCUCAACCGUGGAACUGCUGGGCAUACUGGCGAUCUUGGGCCACUCAGGGGCAACCGGAACAAGCGGUGGAGCGGUGAAAUGCGUAGAUAUCGCUUGGAACGCCAAAGGUGAAGACAGGUUGCUGGGGGUGUGCCGACGCUGAGACGCGAAAGCCAGGGGAGCAAACGGG
rnacentral:rRNA from 1 species